GUAAUAUACCUUGAAAUUGGUUUUCAUGCUUCUGUCUGAAGUAUGGAAUUAAUAGGGAAUUCGGUUUAAAUCCGAAGCUGUCCCCGCAACUGUAAGCUGUACCGGAAUGUAUCCGGAAGCUUUUGUCUACCUCAUGCCACUGUCCUGCUUUGCAGGGUGGGAAGGCGGCAAAAGUCAAGCGAGCCAGGAGACCUGCCUGUUUCAAAAAAAAACA
rnacentral:ncRNA from 2 species